rnacentral:hammerhead_ribozyme from 1 species
AUCCGACUGACGAGUCCCAAACACGGUGAAACGCGCGUCCUGGAU